AAUAAGUUUGUGCGUGUGUGUCCGCUGACAGGGGCCACCUGGCUAUAUGGAGGUUUUUUAGUAUCCAUGCAUCUGACCUUUUGAAUGUAAUGUGAUUUAUGGAUUCAUAUAAAUUAUUUGUCUGUGUCAGGAUGACCCCGCCAGUGAAGGGGACCUAGCCUUCCAGCUGAGCUCCCAGCCUUCCAGCUGAGCUCCCAGCCUUCCAGCUGAGCUCCCAGCCUUCCAGCUGAGCUCCUAGCCUUCCAGCUGAGCUCCCAGCCUUCCAGCUCCCAUUCCCAGCUGACCGUGGACCUGCCAGUCAACAUCCUACAGGAACCUCCUGCUAUGACGGAGGAAGACAAUGGCUUGGACAACUCCCAGUUUACAGGAAGCACCAUCAACCUGCAGGACCUGGAGUGAGAGGGAGGGGGACCUGAGCCCUAGGACCAUGCCUCAGGACUACCUGGCCUGAUGACUCCUUUCUGUCCCCAGUCCAUCUGGUCGUGCUGCUGCUCCAGUUUCAACUGUUCUGCCUGCAGCUAUGGAACCCUGACAUGUUCACCGAACGUGCUACCUUGUCCCCAGACCUGCUGUUUUCAACUCUCUAGAGACAGCAGGAGCAGUAGAGAUACUCUGAAUGAUCGGCUAUGAAAAGCCAACUGACAUUUACUCCUGAGGUGUUGACCUGUUGUACCCUCUACAACCACUGUGAUUAUUAUUAUUUGACCCUGCUGGUCAUCUAUGAACAUUUGAACAUCUUGGCUGCUCCAGUUUCAACUGUUCUGCCUUAUUAUUAUUCGACCAUGCUGGUCAUUUAUGAACAUUUGAACAUCUUGGCCAUGUUCUGUUAUAAUCUCCACCCGGCACAGCCAGAAGAGGACUGGCCACCCCACAUAGCCUGGUUCCUCUCUAGGUUUCUUCCUAGGUUUUAGCCUUUCUAGGGAGUUUUUCCUAGCCACCGUGCUUCUACACCUGCAUUGCUUGCUGUUUGGGGUUUUAGGCUGGGUUUCUGUACAGCACUUUGAGAUAUCAGCUGAUGUACGAAGGGCUAUAUAAAUAAAUUUUAUUUGAUUUGAUGUUCUGUUAUAAUCUCCACCCGGCACAGCCAGAUUAGGACUGGCCACCCCUCAUAGCCUGGUUCCUCUCUAGGUUUCUUCCUAGGUCCUGGCCUUUCUAGGGAGUUUUUCCUAGCCACCGUGCUUCUACACCUGUAUUGAUUGCUGUUUGGGAUUUUAUGCUGGGUUUCUGUACAGCACUUUGACAUCAGGUGAUGUAAGAAGGGC
ensembl:lncRNA